AUACAAGUUAUUAAGUCCGGCAAACGAAAAAGUUGUUUCACGGACUUUGUAAAACAAUUUUUUUCCAUCCAAUCAAAAUAGGGAGACUUUCCUGUAUUUAGACGCUCGUAACGCGUUGAUUUCAGUACAACAUUACUUAAAGGCUUUGAAAAUGUCUUAUGAUUAUCAAGAAAAGUUAUUUAAAAAGGCUGCUGAACGUUACCAAAAUAAGUUAGAUUUAAUAGGGUUGUUCUGAGGUCACAAAAAUAAUCUUACAAAGUUUUAGAGAGUACCUUCGGGAAUGAAGUUAAAAAGUUGUUAAUGUUAAGCAUUUUCUAGAAGCCAAAACGGAACAUCGUUAAUCCUUAUACCGUUUACUAAAAAAUUUUAUGCAUAUUGUUACAAUGCUAUAAUUCAUAUUGUUGUAAUUAGUAAUUUUGAUCAUUUCAUUAUUAUACUGUGAAAAAAUUUUUCAUUUAUAAAUUUUAUUCCACAUAUAAUAAAAACAUGCGGAAUAGAUUUCACACUGAGGAAAAUUUUAAACAAAAAUAUAGAAUUUUUAAAUGUUAUUAUGUUAUUAUUGCUCGGCUUAUCAAUUAUAAAGAUCGAUUUGCUCAUGCCAAACCAUUAUUAUUUCAAAUGAAAAUUCUUAAUAUUUAUCAGCUAAAUAUUUUUAAUAUACUUUGUUUUAUGUUCAAGUGUAAAACCAACGAAUCUCCAGUUUCUUUUCAUAAUCUA